GCAUGCUCGUUUUUGGCGCCGUUCGUUUGCCAGGCAUGCAGAAGCCCCGUAGAGCCCCCAAAGAGUUUGACGUAGACGAUUGUCAGUGACAUUGUUUAAUAAAUUCGAAGUCAAACGUGACAAACGACAUUGUCUUCAGUCAACUCACGGUCUAAACUUACAGCUGAAUUGUAUGCAUUUAAAACCAAACUGUUUUCUAUGCAAUCGAGCUUUAAUAGACAGGCUUAAAGCAACACAGUGCAGAAGCUAUUACCCGCUUACCGUCAUGGUGGAGCUCUGCCCCGCCGCCAGGAUGCCGACCCCCCAGAUGACCUUCAUAGUGAAGCCGUACCGCUCGUACAACCAGUCGCCCUGAAACGCAGAGCGCAAAUGUCUAUAUAUAUAUAUAUAUAUAUAUAUAUAUAUA